CAGCAGUCAAGAAUAUUAGUCAAUGCUCGUAAGAGUGAACUAGCUAACUGAAAUCUUAAUAUUUUUUUAUUGUUAAGAUAAGGUAAGAGAAAAUAAUGAUAUUAUCUUACUAUUAGUGUCGUCUAAAUUUGGUGCCAGAAGACUCGGUAAGACCUUAGACGCAAACGUUAAUCGUCAUAAUCAGGCGUAAAGGGUGUGUAGGCGGCUUUAAAAUAUAUUUUAUAUUUGAAUUAAAGCUAGAAUCUAAAAGAGGGUAAGCUAAACAACAUAAUUAAUUAGGACUGACAACUUAUAAUAAUGUGGAGUACUAAAGGUUAAAGCUAUUUAUCUACUUAAGAUUGACGCUCAGAAACGAAGGGGAGAAUAAGAAACUUAGAUUAGAUACCUAAUUAUCUCUCUCAGUCAACGAUGAAUGGUAGUUAUUAAAAAUACAAAUAUAUAAAUUAUAUAGGUAUUAGUAACGAGGUUAACACGAUGACCAUUCCGCCUUGUUAGUAAGACUGCAAAGUUGAAAACAAAAAAAUUAGUCGGUCUUGAAGCAAACGAAGUGAAGCAUGUUAUUUAAUUCGAUAAUCCGCA
rnacentral:rRNA from 1 species